UACAUGGGGUGCAAACGUUGCUCGGAAUUAUUGGGCGUAAAGCGCGCGUAGGCGGUUACUCAAGUCGGAUGUGAAAGCCCUCGGCUUAACUGAGGAAGUGCACCCGAAACUGAGUAGCUAGAGUACCAAAGAGGGUCGCGGAAUUCCCGGUGUAGAGGUGAAAUUCGUAGAUAUCGGGAGGAACACCGGUGGCGAAGGCGGCGACCUGGGUGGAUACUGACGCUGAGGCGCGAAAGCGUGGGGAGCAAACGGG
rnacentral:rRNA from 1 species